CCUACGGGUGGCAGCAGUAGGGAAUAUUGCUCAAUGGGGGAAACCCUGAAGCAGCAACGCCGCGUGGAGGAUGAAGGUUUUCGGAUUGUAAACUCCUUUUGUUGGAGAAGAUAAUGACGGUAUCUAACGAAUAAGCACCGGCUAACUCCGUGCCAGCAGCCGCGGUAAUACGGAGGGUGCAAGCGUUACUCGGAAUCACUGGGCGUAAAGAGCGCGUAGGCGGGAUAGCAAGUCAGAUGUGAAAUCCUAGGGCUUAACCAUAGAACUGCAUUUGAAACUGUUAUUCUAGAGUAUGGGAGAGGUAGGUGGAAUUCUUGGUGUAGGGGUAAAAUCCGUAGAGAUCAAGAGGAAUACUCAUUGCGAAGGCGACCUGCUAGAACAUAACUGACGCUGAUGCACGAAAGCGUGGGGAGCAAACAGGAUUAGAUACCCCUGUAGUU
rnacentral:rRNA from 1 species